UCUAAAGAGGGAGGAAUGAAUGCACCAGUCUCACCCUGUAUCCACUAGGGUUGGCUGGGGCAUUUGCUUAGCAUCUCUGAUGCCUUCCCCUGCUUCUCUCAUGGCUGGAAGAAUCCUGCCUAUAUGGCUUCCCUCCUCCCUGCCUCCCCAGUGCUCCUGAAAUGAACACAACACAGUGGGCACCUGUUCAGUGCUUAGCCAAUGAAUGGGAAAUGGGGUUCCCGAUGGUUUGAAAGGCAGAGAGUAGAUGCCAUUGAGCCAGCCGGAGAGGAGAGGUCUGGGGAGAGGGGCGGGUGAAAGGAGAUCAUUAUUGUUGAUAAUCUCUCAUGUUUAGCUGGCAAUUUGCAAUUUUAAAGUGUUAGGAUAGAGCGCUGUGUAUAGGUAUUAGGGAGGCCUAGAGGGAAACCCUAAUUCAAAUGAAAGGCCAAGCUCAGAUCCCAGAGAGAUUAGUCUGAAAUGAUGUAUGGAUCAGCUCAGGUGGGAGGGGAAGGAAAGAACCUUCCAGGCAGAGGAAGCAGCUCAUGCAAAGGCCAGAGAUAAAAGCAAGCCUGGGAGUGGGGUUCUGAGGUGGAUGGGAUGAAAGACUCAUUUGUUCCACAAAUAGUUAUCAAGUGUCUACUUUUAUGUCCGGUCCUGGGCUGGGUGUGGGGUGCAGCUGCCAACGGUCUCUACUGUUCUGCAGUCCUUAUUUGCAUGGAGACUUUGGGCUGUGAAGGAGACAGAGAUGAAAUAGCAAAGCACAUGAAAACAUGAGCUCUGAGAUGGGCAAGUGGUACAAAGGAAGAAGAAAGGCAAGUUCCAGGAGAGAAAGGAAGAGGGGUCCUCACUGACUCAGGCCUAAAGGAUGAGGAGGCCUGAGUCAGCCAGAGAGCAGAGUGGCGCCUUGCAGCAGAGGGAACGACCUGGUGGAGACCCUGACCCCAGGGAGUGCUUAGUACUUUGGAGGAGCUGAAAGAAGGACCUCACCAGCCAGAGGGGGGACCUUCUCCUAGAAGUGGAGUCCUGCAGCCCUGCAUUAGGGGUCUGGCUCUGAGAUCCACUCCAGUGAUUUGGGGCAGUCUCUCCUCUUCUUGGGCCUCAGCUUCUCCAUCUGCAAAGGGGGAUCAUCCUGCCCAUUUCAUGGGGGUGAGGAUGUGGGAAAGCAUCUUGGGAGAUGAGAAGCACACGAGGGAGAAAACAGGGCCUGAGCGAAGUCGCUAGACAACAGGGCACCUGGCAGGGAGCCAACACCUGGCACCAGGUCAGUGGCUGCCCCCUUGGCCACCUGUCGGCUGGAUCCAAGUCGCUGUGGUCAACAGCAGCUGUGCAGGGGCGACGGAGAGACGGUGCGGGUGUGGUGGGCGGAGGGAAAUGGGGUCAGUGCGCCACCUGCCGGGCACCUGAGAGAGAAGGCGAGGCUGCGCGCUCCUUUACCCGGCGGAGGAGCGUGGUGGGGCUCAAGCCCUUCCUGCUUGCCCUUGCCGGGCGCACAGUGGGGCUUCACAAGUAUUCUUCAAGAGUGAAGGGUGUAUCCGGGCGCGGUGGCGCACGUCUGUAAGCCUAGCGACUCCGGGAGCUGAGGCAAGGGGAUCUCAGCAAAUUGGGGAGGCUCAAAACAACUUAGCAAGACCCGAUCUAAAAAUUAAAAAAAAAAAAAAAAAAAA